UUAACACAUGCAAGUCGAGGGGCAGCAUGAACUUAGCUUGCUAAGUUUGAUGGCGACCGGCGCACGGGUGAGUAACACGUAUCCAACCUGCCGAUGACUCGGGGAUAGCCUUUCGAAAGAAAGAUUAAUACCCGAUGGCAUAGUUCUUCCGCAUGGUAGAACUAUUAAAGAAUUUCGGUCAUCGAUGGGGAUGCGUUCCAUUAGGUUGUUGGCGGGGUAACGGCCCACCAAGCCUUCGAUGGAUAGGGGUUCUGAGAGGAAGGUCCCCCACAUUGGAACUGAGACACGGUCCAAACUCCUACGGGAGGCAGCAGUGAGGAAUAUUGGUCAAUGGACGAGAGUCUGAACCAGCCAAGUAGCGUGAAGGAUGACUGCCCUAUGGGUUGUAAACUUCUUUUAUACGGGAAUAAAGUGAGGCACGUGUGCCUUUUUGUAUGUACCGUAUGAAUAAGGAUCGGCUAACUCCGUGCCAGCAGCCGCGGUAAUACGGAGGAUCCGAGCGUUAUCCGGAUUUAUUGGGUUUAAAGGGAGCGUAGGCGGACGCUUAAGUCAGUUGUGAAAGUUUGCGGCUCAACCGUAAAAUUGCAGUUGAUACUGGGUGUCUUGAGUACAGUAGAGGCAGGCGGAAUUCGUGGUGUAGCGGUGAAAUGCUUAGAUAUCACGAAGAACUCCGAUUGCGAAGGCAGCUUGCUGGACUGUAACUGACGCUGAUGCUCGAAAGUGUGGGUAUCAAACAGGAUUAGAUACCCUGGUAGUCCACACAGUAAACGAUGAAUACUCGCUGUUUGCGAUAUACAGUAAGCGGCCAAGCGAAAGCGUUAAGUAUUCCACCUGGGGAGUACGCCGGCAACGGUGAAACUCAAAGGAAUUGACGGGGGCCCGCACAAGCGGAGGAACAUGUGGUUUAAUUC
rnacentral:rRNA from 1 species